rnacentral:rRNA from 1 species
CAGUAGCCGCGGGAAUACAGAGGGUGCGAGCGUUAAUCGGAUUUACUGGGCGUAAAGCGUGCGUAGGCGGCUUCUUAAGUCGGAUGUGAAAUCCCUGAGCUUAACUUAGGAAUUGCAUUCGAUACUGGGAAGCUAGAGUAUGGGAGAGGAUGGUAGAAUUCCAGGUGUAGCAGUGAAAUGCGUAGAGAUCUGGAGGAAUACCGAUGGCGAAGGCAGCCAUCUGGCCUAAUACUGACGCUGAGGUACGAAAGCAUGGGGAGCAAACAGGAUUAGAUACCCCUGUAGUCCCUGUCUCUUAUAC